rnacentral:misc_RNA from 1 species
UCAAACUUGGUCAUUUAGAGGAAGUAAAAGUCGUAACAAGGUUUCCGUAGGUGAACCUGCGGAAGGAUCAUUACAGAUAGAUAGAUGUUGAAGAAGUCAGGUUCAGAGGCUGCUGCUGCUACUACUACUGGUGCUGCUAGUUAGUCUCUAGCCUACUUCUAAACACUACCUUCAAUCCCCCCCUUCAUUUGUGAACUUUGACACAGGUUACUGUAAGUGCCCCUAUUCAAAAGAUAGGGGCACUGAACACUUGUGCUCUUUUUUCCCACACUAUCUACCUUACGCAUGGUCUAUUGAAUGUUGUUGUUGGGUUCAUAAUUGGAAAAUAUAUAUAUAACUUUCAGCAACGGAUCUCUUGGCUCUCGCAUCGAUGAAGAACGCAGC